CUAUUUUCAUGGCCAAUAAAAUUGAUUCAGAGUACCGUUUUUCACCUCCCCGGAAGACAAAACAAAACGCAGUGCUCUCACCUAAUAACCAACCUGAUUGCGCUCAAGCAUUCAUGGAACACGCUGCAACUGCGCCACUACCAGACGCUUUUCUCCACUUCUUAGAAUCCAAUGGAAUCGACCCAUCCAUUUACACUUCAAUUGAUUCCACACCACGAUACAUUCGGUUGAAACCCGGUUUCGAAGAUUGUAUUCAAGAGAUUCAAUCAGAAACUAAAUGUAAACCUGAAAAAUUGGAUUGGUUGCUAGGGUUUUACACUCUUCCACCUCAUAUUCAAAUUGCCAGCACUAAGGUAUAUCAACAAGGAAAGAUUUAUGGAAUUGAUGCAUCUUCUGGAGCUGCUGUUAUGGCAUUAGGUAUAGAACCUGGGGAUCAUGUGUUGGACCUAUGUGCUGCUCCUGGUGCUAAACUUUGUAUGAUACUAGACCUUCUUGGUGAUUCGGGCUCUGUAACUGGAGUUGAUGCUGCAAGGCAUCGGUUGGCAGCAUGUAGAACAAUGCUGCAGAAAUAUAAACUAGGUGAUCGAUGCCGGCUAUUUGUUGCUGAUGGAACAACAUUUUCGGUUAUUCCCGAGGGGUUUCGUUCUGAUUCUGAAUCAUGUGAAUCUGGAUUGGAGGAAAGAAUGGAUGUGUUCAAGGAGUGGACAUCUAGAAGACCAUGGAAAGAGAGGAAAAGAGCAAAAAAGUGUAGCACUCCACAAGUGGUGUCUAAGUCUCACCCUCCUGAACUCAUAUAUUAUGGACGGCAUUCUGGAGUCAUUGGUCUUACUAAAAAAGAAUUAUAUAAGACUGUAACUGAAAAUGAGAUUGCAAGCUAUGGCUAUGACAAAGUCCUUGUGGAUGCAGAAUGCACUCAUGAUGGUUCAGUAAAACAUAUUCAGAAGUUUGAACAUUGGGGCUGGGUAACGCUUCAACGUCGUGUGCUGGAUGCUGAGAGAACAGAUAGUUUACAUACUCUUCAGCUAUCAUUUUUGUUUAACCCACAUAUACCUUGGGUAUCUCACUACAGCUGAAUCUUCUCACCAACGGUUUCAGACUACUAAAAGUUGGAGGAUCACUCAUCUAUAGCACUUGCAGCUUAACUGUUGCUCAAAAUGAAGAUGUGGUGGAACAGUUCUUGAAGGAAAAUAUAACUGCUGAGUUGACAGAGAUAGAUGCUGCUCGAAAUUGGCCUUGCAAGGGUGGCCGCAUACAAAAAACAUGGCGAUUUGACCCGUUAGCAUCACAAACUAGUGGACUCUUCGUGGCAAAGUUCAGAAAAGUAGUCAUUUGAUGUUAUUAUGGCCUCAUAAAAUAUUAUAUUCAAUAUUCAAAUAGUUUUAGGUAUACUCAAUAUAUUCAAAAGUUUCAUAUUAUAUAUGUAAUUUACAUUUUGAAUUCUUAUGUCAUCAGAAAAUAUUAUUUUAGCUAAUGAAAGUUGGUUCAAUUGGUAAGGAGUUGACUUACACUCACAA